UCCCAACUAGGGGUGCAGGGGUCUGCAGUUGGCACUGCAGUCAGGGCAAAACUGGGGCCUUCGCGUUCGUCUGCCAGCUGACCCAUAGGUAAGAAACGCAGCCUCCCCGCGAGGGUUCCGCGGGCGAGCAACCUGCUCGGGGGCGUUGCUGAGACCCCUGGGCAGAACUCUGGGGACAGUGAAGGUCUGUCGCCCAAGGGCUGCACUUCGGUUCAGCUCCAGUUGCUGCUUGCGCGGGGGCCGAGGCUGCGGCCGAGAUAAGCGUCCCGCCGGGAGGCUUUGGGUUUGGCUACAGAGAACGUCCUGCUCCUCGAAGCGCACACGGCCGGCUGGGCCCGGGGAGCUGCAGCCGCGCCCCGGCUCCAGUUGUGCCGUGGUUUGGGAGCCCCGAACGGGGCUCCCGUCCGCACCUCACGGAGCGCUGUCCCCUCGAGCCUCGCACGGGGGCUGCGGCCGCUCCGCGUUGCAGGGCGCGUGUCCCCGCUUUGAGGUGUCCCACUGCGCGGCCCUGCAGCCCCGGAGAGUCGCUCCGCAAAGGUUCAGUGGAGCAGCCCUCGUCUCAUUUUAAGACUAUUUAUUCUGCUCUCACGUGUGUUCUUUGAUGGACUUUGGUUCGCUUUUCCGCUUCGUAUGUCUGUGGCUUAUCCUCCCUCCCCCCAGUAACUUCUGAGUUUUAUCCGCUGUGGAACUUUUGAGUCGUUCCUUCUAGUGCCUUCAGGAGAACACCCUUCCUGAGCUCGAGCAGCAGUGUUUGUGCAAGAGAGAGAAAACAUCUUUCUGACACAGAGAGGCUAACUCCACCGGUUUCUUCUUGCUGCAGCCCUUCUCCAUAAAGGCAAAUAAGGUUAAUCAGCGUUCAGCGUCCUCCGGCCAAAGCCGGAGGUGUGAAUUCCAGCGCUGAGAUCAGUCGAACACCUCAGCGAGCAAGCCACUGAAUGACUGUUUGAGCUCAGGCGCCACAAACAUAAACUUAACAGCUCCCAGUGUGCCGGCCUUGCUGCAGGAUCACUCCUCACCUCCCGGGACUUGUGAAGUGCAGGCGGAGAAGGCAGCUCCCGAGGAGGCGGCGGGGAGGCAGGCUCCGGAGGGGGCUGGGGAGGCAAUGCUCUGUGACCGAGCUUUCCGUAUGGUAUUGUAUCUGCUGUCGUUAGCCAGGGAAAAGGGUGCAAAACUAAUCGAUGCCUUUCCCCGAGGCUCCUGUCUGUGCCGGAAGUUGGGGCAAGGUCCGUGCGCCGCUCUUCGCAGCAAUCGAGCCGGGAAAGGAGGCUUUUGCUUCGAGCUGCUGUUUCACAGUACUGAUUUUUCUUUCUUGCGGCUCACCACACUAAAAGCUCAGGAGGGAAAGCGGAGGAGGUGGGGGUGCCGCGCAGCAUCACCGCACCCGGCCUGAUCUCAGUAACGGGACAGCCUUUCCACUGGUUUACCUGCGGCUCCGGAUUGCUCCGGCGGCGUGGGGGGACGAGAUGUGGGGAGAAGGAAGGAGAAAGGUUACGAAACAGGAUUUUUGUUGAAGAGUGUGGCCAUUUUUUAAAAUUGUAUUUGUUUGUUUGUUUGUUUUACUCCUGUUAUACAAAAUAGGACAAGGUAUGUUUGUGGGAGAGAGAGAGGGUGAAGAAGUUUUCAAGAAAUAAGUGACACGGAGCAAAGCAGAGCUCUACUCCUAUCUUAGGGCGGCAAUGGGAAGAGGAAAAUAGGGUGUUACUGUGGCUUUUCUUUGGGAGGGUUGUUCGGGUCGGUAGAUCUCCAACGCUAAUCCAAACAACCCGUUUGACUUGUGAGGUCCGGAGUCUAGACAGAGCUGGUGGCUCGGCGGCUCCUUAUCUGGUUUUGGAAUCAGCCGAAAGAGACUUUUCUUAAUGUCCACAGCAGCACUGGGAUCUGCGGGGGCCGGGUAGCCACCGCACCUCGCAGACAGGACAACAAAUACACCCACCACCUGGAGGCUUUAUAGCCCGCUUUGUUGUUCCCGAUCUCUGUCUCGCCCCUGCCCUCGGCCGCCGGGCCGGGGUAACCCACGUCCCGCGGUUUGCUUAAUACAACAUAGACCUGCUGCUCGCCCUGUAUCCCCCCGGGCACUCAAAGGCUACCUCCACAGCAGUAUGGGACAGUGGGCACUCGAUUUCUGAUGGGUUAUUUUAUAAUCCUGAUGUGCUGUUAUUUAAUUCCUUUAUCUUUCCCUUUCUUUUGCUCUUUCUUUCUUUUACUCUGUCUUUCUGUCCUCUCUUUCUCUCUCUCUCCCUUCCUUCCUUCUCUCUUCUUUCUUCUUUCCUUCCCUCUCUUUUUCCCACCUUCCUUCCUUUCUUUCCUUUUUUUUUUCCCUUUCCCCUUGUGUAUGACACUAUUAUUAUUAUUAUUAUUAUUAUUAUUAUUAUUAUUAUUAUUAUUAUUAUUAUUUUUCCAAUUGGAGUUUUGCAGACAAUGGAAAACAAACAAACAACAAACAAACAAACUGACAGCUAUUCAAAAUCACCAGAGAUCACCAACACUGGAGACUGAUUGAAGCAAGUCAAUCAAGAGAGAGGAAGUCUGUUUAGAUAUAAGACCUUCGUUGGAGGUAGAAAAUUGCCCUCUAUAUUAGUUCCUUUGUGCUGGAUUUGUGGAUAUUCUGAGUAAUAAAGCAUGUUAAAUGGAGUUCAGAUCAGUAAAAGCAUUUAGCUCAGUAGCAAGCAGUAUUUUGGAAAGUAGGGAGAAAGGUGCAUCUUUUGGUUGGAUAUUCCUUUUCCUAUUUAUUCAUUCAUUUUCUUAAUGCCUCCGAAUCUUGUGUCAUAUUAGGUGGAUGCCUGGUAUAUUUCCAAGUUUGAGCAUUGCUUGAGCUCGUCUACCAUCUCUGCUGUUUCUCUACCAUAACACAAGACAAUUUGCAGUAAAUGCAUGUGAUUCCUUUCCAAAACCCAUGCUGUUUCUCAGUGUAGUUGAGUUCAGGGCCAUGAUACUUCAUUUUGGAAGAAAGCAAGCUGAUUACUGUAACUAUGAUGUACUGAUAUGCUAUUUGCAGCAGAUAUUGUAAUUGAGUCUGCUAAUGUGGAAUUAUGAAAUUUGCCACUGGGUAGGACUCUUUCUCUCUGCAAUUUAGAAGGUUUGUGGUUUGUGGAUAAGUGCUGUUUUCUAGAUUUACCAGUUGUAAAUGUCCUUGUGUACAGAGCAAAUUAUAUGGCAAAGCUUUUGUAAUAAUUUUCCAUCAAAUACAAUUAAAGCAUUUUAAACUCUCAAUAACUCAGGGAAUUUGGGACCAAGAGAGCAUCAUUUUCCUAGCAAAGGAAUCUUAACCAUGAUCCUGGUACUUCUCUCUCUCUUUUUUUUCUUUCUUUCUCAUGGGUAAAACUUAGUGUUUAUUUUUAUCUGUCACAAAUACAAAGUGUUGUUUGAAAUGUGUUAAACUUAGCAGGUAUAUAGAGAUAAUACUGACGUGUCACUGUGCAUGAUAAAGUAAAAUAUGGUGGGAAUUAACUUGAAAAGUUUAUGAAAGUUUUAACUACAGCCCAUAAAUUAACUUAAAAAAAAAAAAAAAAAAAAAAGGACGAUGAUAUGAUGAUACAUA